rnacentral:rRNA from 1 species
ACCGCCCUCUUUCUUCAGGCCUAACACAUGCAAGUCGAGCGAGGACUUCGGUUCUAGCGGCGGACGGGUGAGUAACGCGUGGGAAUGUGCCCUUCUCUACGGAAUAGCCCUGGGAAACUGGGAGUAAUACCGUAUACGCCCUUUUGGGGAAAGAUUUAUCGGAGAAGGAUCAGCCCGCGUUGGAUUAGGUAGUUGGUGGGGUAAUGGCCUACCAAGCCGACGAUCCAUAGCUGGUUUGAGAGGAUGAUCAGCCACACUGGGACUGAGACACGGCCCAGACUCCUACGGGAGGCAGCAGUGGGGAAUCUUAGACAAUGGGGGCAACCCUGAUCUAGCCAUGCCGCGUGAGUGAUGAAGGCCUUAGGGUUGUAAAGCUCUUUCAGCUGGGAAGAUAAUGACGGUACCAGCAGAAGAAGCCCCGGCUAACUCCGUG